rnacentral:rRNA from 1 species
GAUCCUGGCUCAGGAUGAACGCUAGCUACAGGCUUAACACAUGCAAGUCGAACGAAGCACUUCACUACGAUUCCUUCGGGAUGACGGUUUAGUGACUGAGUGGCGGACGGGUGAGUAACGCGUGGGGAACCUGCCCCAUACCGGGGGAUAACAGCCGGAAACGGCUGCUAAUACCGCAUAAGCGCACAGUACCGCAUGGUACGGUGUGAAAAACUCCGGUGGUAUGGGAUGGACCCGCGUCUGAUUAG